UACGUAGGGGGCAAGCGUUGUCCGGAGUUACUGGGCGUAAAGCGCACGCAGGCGGUCUUUUUAAGUUUGGAGUGACAGUUGGUGGCUUAACUGCCAAAGUGCUUCGAAAACUGAGAGACUUGAGGGCUUCAGAGGGACACGGAAUUCCCGGUGUAGCGGUGAAAUGCGUAGAGAUCCGGAGGAACACCAGUGGCGAAGGCGACACGCUGGGCCGUACCUGACACUGAUGCGCGACAGCAUGGGGAGCAAACAGG
rnacentral:rRNA from 1 species